rnacentral:tRNA from 1 species
CGGGGAAUGGUUUAGUGGUAGAAUGCACGGCUGGGGGUCGUGCGGCGGGAGUUCGAUUCUCCCUUCCCCGA